GACGAACGCUGGCGGCGUGCUUAACACAUGCAAGUCGAACAGAAAGGCCCCUUUGGGGGUACUCGAGUGGCGAACGGGUGAGUAACACGUGAGUAACCUGCCCUUGACUUCGGGAUAACUUCAGGAAACUGGGGCUAAUACCGGAUAGGAAUCCUUGCUGCAUGGUGGGGGUUGGAAAGCUUCGGCGGUUUUGGAUGGACUCGCGGCUUAUCAGCUUGUUGGUGGGGUAGUGGCUUACCAAGGCUUUGACGGGUAGCCGGCCUGAGAGGGCGACCGGCCACAUUGGGACUGAGAUACGGCCCAGACUCCUACGGGAGGCAGCAGUGGGGAAUAUUGCACAAUGGGCGGAAGCCUGAUGCAGCAACGCCGCGUGCGGGAUGACGGCCUUCGGGUUGUAAACCGCUUUCAGCAGGGGCGAAGCUUGUGGUGACGGUACCUGCAGAAGAAGCACCGGCUAACUACGUG
rnacentral:rRNA from 1 species